ensembl:misc_RNA Y_RNA Y RNA
GGCUGGUCCGAUGGCAGUGGGUUAUCAGAACUUAUUAACAUUAGUGUCACUAAAGUUGGUAUACCACCCCCCACUGCUGAAUUAGACUGGCUUUUU